AUGCUCGCUUCAGGGGCACAUAUGCUAAAAAUGGAACCGUGCAGAAGAUUAGCACGGCCUCUGGGCAACAACAACAUGCAGAUUAGCAUAAAGCAUUCCAAAUUUUU
ensembl:snRNA U6 U6 spliceosomal RNA